GGUCAAUCUUAAAUGCUGUAUAGGAGGAUCUCAUUGAGAAGAUAUCAUUUGAGCAAAGAUGUAAAGCAAGGGAGGGAAUGAGUCAGUGGCUACAUAGCGAGAGUGUCCUAGGCAGAGGAAACAGCUUCUACAAAAGCCCUGAAGCAAGAGAAUGUUUGAAGUGUUCAAGAAUAAACAGGAGAUGCAGAAUGAAUGGAAUUGAGAGUGAGUGAGGCAGUCGGAUACAAGAGAGACUAAUAUGGGGCAGCACUGAAGACUGCUGACAGCAGCCACAUGAGUGAGCUCAGAGUGGACACAACAGCCCCUUCAGAGGCUGCAGGGAUGGCAGACAGCCUGACUGCAAUGUCGUGAAAGAUGCUGAGGCAGAACCAUGCAGCAAAGUCAUUCCCAGAUUCCUGACUCUCAGAAAAUUGUUACUUUAGAGAAGUCUGAACUUGCCCUUUUUUUCAUCUUUAUGCCUGAGGAAAUUUUUCUUUAUCAUCAAAGAACUCUGAGAAUUGAUGGGCACUGUGUUAGAGCAAGUGGGAAGUAUAGACACAGCUUCCCAUGUUAAGCACGAGCAAGAAGAAAAUAAUUUGAAUGGAAACUAUUCAAAUAUAUCACAGUGAUCAAAGAUUUAAAAGUGGAUGAAAAGAGACAGCUCAAGAACCCAAUUCAGAAGACAGCAUAGCUCAAGGAGGUUUCUUGGGAGCCAUCAUUAAGGUGAAGAACAGAGAAGGCAUCCUAGCACCAGAGUUCCAGGCAGCCCCAACCCAUACUCACCCAUACAGCAGCUCCCCUUUGUAUCUGUCUUACAUAGUAUGCUUCCUGAUGUUACCUGAAAAGGGGUUUAAAAAUGUGCAAUUUACAAAAAUGCAUGGAAAAUAUGAAAUACACAUAUUGAAUCUUUUUUCAAUACACAUAUUGAAUCUUU
rnacentral:lncRNA from 10 species